AGAUUGAACGCUGGCGGCAGGCCUAACACAUGCAAGUCGAGCGGUAGAGAGGUGCUUGCAUCUCUUGAGAGCGGCGGACGGGUGAGUAAUGCCUAGGAAUCUGCCUAGUGGUGGGGGAUAACGUUCGGAAACGGACGCUAAUACCGCAUACGUCCUACGGGAGAAAGCGGGGGACCUUCGGGCCUCGCGCCAUUAGAUGAGCCUAGGUCGGAUUAGCUAGUUGGUGAGGUAAUGGCUCACCAAGGCGACGAAUCCGUAACUGGUCUGAGAGGAUGAUCAGUCACACUGGAACUGAGACACGGUCCAGACUCCUACGGGAGGCAGCAGUGGGGAAUAUUGGACAAUGGGCGAAAGCCUGAUCCAGCCAUGCCGCGUGUGUGAAGAAGGUCUCGGAUUGUAAAGCACUUUAAGUUGGAGGUAAGGUUGUAACUUAAGUACGUUGACAACUUUGACGUUACCGACAAGAAUAAGCUACCGACUUAACUCGUAGCCAGCAGCCGUA
rnacentral:rRNA from 1 species